rfam:Papilio machaon contig19265, whole genome shotgun sequence.
AUCUGUUUGUGCUGAAUGGGUAUAUGUCUAGUAGCACAGUAUAUACAACCUGUGACUAGAUCUACACUCAUUGAGUACAUGCAGAA